rnacentral:misc_RNA from 1 species
GAUGAAGAACGUAGCGAAAUGCGAUACUUGGUGUGAAUUGCAGAAUCCCGUGAACCAUCGAGUCUUUGAACGCAAGUUGCGCCCGAAGCCACUAGGCCGAGGGCACGCCUGCCUGGGCGUCACACGCCGUUGCCCCCCCAUCUACUCCUUCGGGAUUGCGGGGGGGCGGAUGAUGGCCUCCUGUGCGCCUAGCCGCGCGGUUGGCAUAAAUACCAAGUCCUCGGCGACGCACGCCACGACAAUCGGUGGUUGCGAAACCUCGGUUGCCCGUCGUGUGCGGUCGUCGCGCAUCGAGGGCUCGAAAAAAUUGCCGGGCUCCGGCUCGGCUUUCAACGCGACCCCAGGUCAGGCGGGGUUACCCGCUGAAUUUAAGCAUAUCAAUAAGCGGAGGA